AUACGUAGGGGGCGAGCGUUGUCCGGAAUGACUGGGCGUAAAGGGCGCGUAGGCGGCGGGAUAAGUUAGGAGUGAAAGUCCAGCUUUUAAGGUUGGAACUGCUUUUAAUACUGUCCAGCUUGAGUGCGGAAGAGGUAAGUGGAAUUCCCAGUGUAGCGGUGAAAUGCGUAGAGAUUGGGAGGAACACCAGUGGCGAAGGCGACUUACUGGGCCGUAACUGACGCUGAGGCGCGAAAGCGUGGGGAGCGAACAGGAUUAGAUACCCUGGUAGUCCACACUGUAAACGAUGAAUGCUAGGUGUAGGGGGUAUCGACCCCUUCUGUGCCGCAGUCAACACAAUAAGCAUUCCGCCUGGGGAGUACGGCCGCAAGGUUGAAACUCAAAUGAAUUGACGGGG
rnacentral:rRNA from 1 species